rnacentral:rRNA from 1 species
GUAGGGUGCAAGCGUUAAUCGGAAUUACUGGGCGUAAAGCGUGCGCAGGCGGUUUUGUAAGUCUGACGUGAAAGCCCCGGGCUCAACCUGGGAAUUGCGUUGGAGACUGCAAGGCUUGAAUCUGGCAGAGGGGGGUAGAAUUCCACGUGUAGCAGUGAAAUGCGUAGAGAUGUGGAGGAACACCGAUGGCGAAGGCAGCCCCCUGGGUCAAGAUUGACGCUCAUACACGAAAGCGUGGGGGAGCAAACAGGAUUAGAUACCCUGGUAGUCCACGCCCUAAACGAUGUCUACUAGUUGUCGGGUUUUAAUUAACUUGGUAACGCAGCUAACGCGUGAAGUAGACCGCCUGGGGAGUACGGUCGCAAGAUUA